CGAGAUUACAAUUUAAUGAAGCUCGGAGAUCCAGUUCCAGAAGAACGCCCACCGUAGAAGAAAUAACGAAGUGAUUCAAUGACAUCGAUGGCGAUUAGCAAAAUAACGUUUAUUGGAGCGUUGGUUAAACUGGUUCUGAAAAAUUCAAUUGCCUGAAGGUUGAUGCAGCUUCAAAACUGAACCGUUCUCGGUGUGAACUGCCAGUAUAUGUUGGAUAAAUAAUUGGAAAAACGCACUCUACAAGGUGUUAUUAAGCUUUUGGGGCGGCAUACUAGCAAAAAUCUUAUCAAAGAAGUGUUCAAGCUCACUACGGAAUAUGGUAUCCAAAAGUCGCAAAUCUUUUCCGUAACAGUGGAUAAUGGAGCGAACAUGAU